UCCUCCGCCGCCAUCUUUAAACAGCGCCGCACUGCCGACCGCUUCCGGGUUAUUAAUCGCCCUCCUCCCGGAAGGGAGCCCCUCCUCGUGGCCCCUCCUUCGCAACGCCCCUAGCAACAGGCUCCCCUUGGCGGUUGUCAGGGCGGGAGCAGCUCCUGCGGGCCCUGGAGAGCCCGGGGGCCCGUGACCCCAGGAGACGCGGGGGGCGCGGGCGCGCGCUUCCACAUCCCCACCCUCCUGAAGGUCAUGAGGUGCUAAGGGCCCCCUGGAGUUGCUUCUGUUUUCGGUCUACUGGACUUUAGCUUUAAAACGCAGGUUGUGUAAUUGAGAUAAGGAGCAAGAUGGAAUUAAAGUCACGGAAGGCAACAUCCCUUCUGCGCGUGCACUCGAGGUACACGAGCCACCAAAGCUGCAGUGCGGAGCGCGGAGCCACCACGAGACAGGAAGUGGUGCCAACAUCCUGAUGCCCUUCAGAGCCCUUAAAUCGAGACCUCUCGCCCCUCGCCACUGAGCCUGUUCUCUGCAAGCUUUGAAGACCUGUUUCUAAUAAGAGGACAUCUUUCCCUUGAUGUCGAACCAAAAGCCUCGACCUGGUUGAGGAAGCAGGUCCAUUUAAAAGCAUGGACUUAAAUCCAUAAUCCGAACACGUGGAAGGUGGAGACAAGGAUCAGAGAGUUCAAGGGGCACAGAAAUAGGAGAUAACUAAUCCUUGGCAGAGAAGUGAUGUUACCAUAGUAACUGCAACAAAACUCUUCUGGGAUUGCAUCUUCUCUUCAAGACAGCCCAUGGCUCUGACAUCAAGGUAUAAUCUGUGCCAUGGACAGAGCCAGUCUGCACAGCUGAACCUCUUCUGGCAGCAGAGGCUUGGCAAGGAGGGCCCCUGCCACCCCACCUGCCUCCAUCACUUCCAAGCCCCAGGUCCACAGGGAAUACUAAUACUGUCCCUGUGUCUAUCUGGAAGUCAACCAAGUCAUCCAGCAAAGCAUGAAAAGUGAGGUAAAGCCAUUUCACCCUGGGGGCGGGGUGGCAGCACUGGGUACCAGAGUGCUGCUUCCUAGGUGCCACAUCAAUAAAGGCCAUCUCCAGCUCCUUGCCUGCCCUGGCUCCUCCUGAAAAUACUGAGGAGGUACAAGGAAGACCACUCAGCCCAUAAGCAUUUACAGAGUGCUAAAAGGGGCCCUGAAUUUGACAUAAAGUGGUAGCAAUACCCAGCAUGAAAUGCCUUGGGCUCCACCACACCCACUACUUGCAAGGCACUGCACAUGGAUACCCAAGCCAGGAAAAAAAGCUUGGUAAAGGGUCACAGCUUCAGAGCUGGCCUUAAAGAUGGAGCCCUAUGCAUGCACUUACAGGGAGCCAAUGAACCUGGCACAGACAAGGGAACUGGAAGGGAUAAGCAGCACGGUGGAGGGCUCAGUAACAACAGGUAUUUUCCAGAUGCUGAGAACCAUUUAAAUAAGUGAAGUACAACUGACACACACCUAAGAAACCCAGCCAGGUGUUCCCCCGCAGACCUCAAUCCAACACCAUCCUCAGUUCCUGUGUGCUGGCAGGAGAGCACGAUGUAUCUCUGGAGCAAGGUUUAAAUAAACUUUAUUGUUACAAGGGGGACCCCGCCAAGCAGAA